rnacentral:rRNA from 1 species
AAUACCCGAUAGUCCUCGAAUGCUGGAAUGCGUCGAGGACGAAAGCUCCGGUGCCUAAGGAUGGGUCUGCGGCCUAUCAGGUAGUAGUGGGUGUAGCGUACCUACUAGCCUACGACGGGUACGGGUUGUGAGAGCAAGAGCCCGGAGAUGGAUUCUGAGACACGAAUCCAGGCCCUACGGGGUGCAGCAGGCGCGAAAACUUUACAAUGCUGGCAACAGCGAUAAGGGAACCUCGAGUGCCAGGUUACAAAUCUGGCUGUCGAGAUGCCUAAAAAGCAUUUCAUAGCAAGGGCCGGGCAAGACCGGUGCCAGCCGCCGCGGUAACACCGGCGGCUCGAGUGGUAACCGUUAUUAUUGGGUCUAAAGGGUCUGUAGCCGGCCGGAUAAGUCUCUUGGGAAAUCUGGCAGCUCAACUGUCAGGCUUUCAGGAGAUACUGUCUGGCUCGAGGCCCGGGAGAGGUGAGAGGUACUUCAGGGGUAGGGGUGAAAUCUUGUAAUCCUUGAAAGGACCACCAGUGGCGAAGGCGUCUCACCAGAACGGACCUGACGGCAAGGGACGAAAGCUAGGGGCACGAACCGGAUUAGAUACCCGGGUAGUCCUAGCCGUAAACGAUACUCGCUAGGUGUUCGGCCACGUUGCGACCGUGGUCGGUGCCGUAGGGAAGCCGUGAAGCGAGCCACCUGGGAAGUACGGCCGCAAGGCUGAAACUUAAAGGAAUUGGCGGGGGAGCACCACAACGGGUGGAGCUUGCGGUUUAAUUGGAUUCAACGCCGGAAAUCUUACCGGGACCGACAGCAAUAUGAAGGCCAGGCUGAAGACUUUGCCGGAUUAGCUGAGAGGUGGUGCAUGGCCGUCGUCAGUUCGUACUGUGAAGCAUCCUGUUAAGUCAGGCAACGAGCGAGACCCACGCCCACAGUUGCCAGCGUACUCUCCGGAGUGAUGGGUACACUGUGGGGACCGCCGCUGCUAAAGCGGAGGAAGGAAUGGGCAACGGUAGGUCAGUAUGCCCCGAAUAUCCCGGGCUACACGCGAGCUACAAUGGUUGGUACAAUGGGUAUCUACCCCGAGAGGGGAUGGCAAUCUCCUAAAACCAAUCUUAGUUCGGAUUGAGGGCUGCAACUCGCCCUCAUGAAGCUGGAAUCCGUAGUAAUCGCGUUUCAAC